rnacentral:lncRNA from 13 species
AUGCUCUUCUUACCUCAUUUAGGUAGCAAGAGAAGCUGCUCCAAAGCUGCCUUACUCCCAGGUUGUGGGAGCAGAACCAAGACGUUCCGAUCCCUUGAGGAAGAGAAUGGCUCAGCACGAGGGGGCCUCACCCAGAGCCCUGGGUCUGUUCUGAGCCCCUCACCUAAAGAAGGACAUUGCCACUGGAUCAUGGUACUGUGGGCUGAGCAGAUGAUUGAUAGGACAUCACUGGGCCUGGCUCCAGAAGAACUGGAACAAGAUCUUGCCCCUCUCUGGGCCUCAGUUUCCCUAUCUGUACCACAGGGCAUUGACCUCUGCAUGUUCUUCGAGACCUCUUCCAGUUCUGCUUGGUUUGCAACAGGAUGGAGUCUCACUGUGUUGCUCAGGCUGGAGUGCACUAGCACGAUCUCCCUGCAAUCUCUGGCUUGUGGGUUCAAGCAAUUCUCCGGCCUCAGCCUCCCAAGUAGCUGGAACUACAGGCGCAGAUCACCAUGCCUGGCUACUUUUUUUUUGUAUUUUUAGUAUAAAUGGGGUUUCACCAUGUUCACCAGGGUGGUCUUGAACUCCUGACCUCAGGUGAUCUGCCUGCCUCAGGUGAUCCACCCGCCUCUACCUCCCGAAGUGCCAGGAUUACAGGCGUGAGCCACUGUGCCUGGUCUACCCUUUUUAAAAUGUGGGAAUUGGAUGGCCUCUGAGGCCAUCAAGCUCCAGGUGUCCACAGUUUGUUGCUGAAGAAGGUGGGGCCUCUGUCCAAGUCGGAGAGUGUGAGACAACUGCAGAGAUGACCCGAACCUGGAGGCAUCUCGGCCCCACUCUGAGCUCCCAGCCUAAGCAGAACAUUGGAUCUCAGGGGCAGGCCUCACCAGGGCAGGAGAAGCCAUGUCCUGGAGAGAAACCUGGGUGUGAAGAGGGCUGGCUCAGAUAUUUAUAGGUGCCAGCCACGGUUCCAGGAGAAUUUAAUUCUAUCUUCAAACACCCGAAGGGCUGCCAUGGGGCAGAGGGAGAGGACUUCCUCUACAUGACCCAGUUGGUAGAACUAGGACAGUGGGAAAGGGUGGAAGCUCCAAGGAGACAGCCAGCGUUUGGUUCAAUAUAGCAAUCAAUGGGAUUUCUCCAUGUGCGCCUGCCCACAAGCCUGUAUGGUGCACAGUCGGAUGUUGCGGCUUCCGUUUCCUUGCAGUCUUCCUUCCUCUACUCCCCUAAAGCUCAUCCUAUGGCUUUUUUCACACCGUACUGUUUUCUCUUUAUCUCAGCUUGUUCUUGGAGUAGAAAAUACUUUAUUUUUAAAAACGAAAAUUGGAUUUUUUUAUUGAGAAAAAAAUAUUAAGUGCACAUGAUGAAAACUUCAUAUUGGUCAAAAGGUGUACCAUGAAAAGUAGGUCUCUCUCCCUGUGGCUGCCCGGUCUCCUCCGGCUCAUAGUCAUCCAGCUUCCUUUUCCAGAAACAACCACUGUUUUUCUCAGAAAUACACUGCACGCGCAAGCAUCUUUCUGUCUGUUUAUCUGUCCUUUAUUGAACACAAAUGUGAGCAUCAUGUGUCCUGAUCCUUGCUUCCCCCCUCCCCCCACCCCAACCUAACUACAAAGCUUGGAAGCUGUUUCUAAGGAAAAGUUCUCCAUUGGGCAAUAUCUGACAAGGAAAUGGGCUAAUGAGCUCUCAACACUGGGGCCACAGAAGCACAGGCUAGAUGACCACUUGGGGAAAGAAAAACUGGGGAGUUGGGCCCUUCCUUGGGGGAGGAAGGUGAGACUCAUGCUGUCUAAAGCCCUUUCCAUGAACCAGUUUCUUGGAUACAAAGAGAACAAGUCUUUAUCUCAUAUUCUUCCCAUUUCUCCCCACUCCCUCCCAGCACCCCACAAGCUGGGUCAGAGUCACCAGUGCUUAAAGCCACCCAACCUUGGCUUCCAGCCCUUGUGUAAUUGACAAGAAUUCCCUCGCUCCCUAAGAGACGGCCUCUCUCUGUGCCAGCCACAUGCCACUAAACUCCAAAUUAAGAGGCCCAGCUGAGAUUUCUGUCUUAUUCCACCCAUACUCCUGGGGCCAAUCCUCUCUCAUUUCAGGAGGGGAAUGGAACUAGGAGUUUGGAUUUGGGAAGGGGGGUAGAGGGGGCUAGCCACCAAAGCUGGUGCCUCUAUGCUCCAGAGAGAUGUGCGUGUCCUACCAUGCGGCUUAAGACUUCUCCAAAACACCGUCCCCCCAAAUCCAAUAAAAUUGCAAAUUUCACUGUAUUUCA